rnacentral:lncRNA from 1 species
AAUCUUGAUCUUCAUACUAGCAAUACUGGUAGUUAUUCUAUUUCAAGCAAUAUCUCUUCUUUUUAGUGACGUAGCUUUAUAAUCUUGAUCUUCAUAUUAGCAAUACUGGUAGUUAUUCUAUUUCAAGCAAUAUCUCGUCUUUUAGUGAAGUAGCUUUAAUAAUCUUGAUCUUCAUACUAGUAAUACUGGUAGUUAUUCUAUUUCAAGCAAUAUCUCUUCUUUUUAGUGACGUAGCUUUAUAAUCUUGAUCUUCAUAUUAGCAAUACUGGUAGUUAUUCUAUUUCAAGCAAUAUCUCUUCUUUUAGUGAAGUAGUUUAAUAAUUUUGAUCUUUAUCAUUUAGCAAUGUAUUUUCAAUAAUUGAAUUAUUAGACUUCUUGAUCUUGAUAUUUUUAUUGAUACAAGUUUUUGAUGAUUGAAUUGUUGAAAUGUUGAUCUUUAUAUAUUUAGCAAUAUCUUUCUUUGUUAUAUUGUUUUUGUUUUUUGAAUACAUUGAUUUAUUUUACAUUUUUUGUGAAUUGUUAAUGCUC